UACGUAGGGGGGCUAGCGUUGUCCGGAAUCAUUGGGCGUAAAGAGCGUGUAGGCGGCCCGGUAAGUCCGCUGUAAAAGUCAAAGGCUCAACCUUUGAAUGUCAGUGGAUACUGCCGGGCUAGAGUCCGGAAGAGGCGAGUGGAACUCCUGGUGUAGCGGUGGAAUGCGCAGAUAUCAGGAGGAACACCCGUGGCGAAAGCGGCUCUCUGGGACGGUACUGACGCUGAGACGCGAAAGCGUGGGGAGCAAACAGG
rnacentral:rRNA from 1 species